GGUGGUUCACGGGUGACGCAACCUGGAAUUGGGCUUCCUCCUCUCUGGUUCUGGGUGUGUCACCCGAGAACCGCA
rfam:Myotis lucifugus cont2.2411, whole genome shotgun sequence.